rnacentral:rRNA from 1 species
UUCCAGACUCCUACGGGAGGCAGCAGUAGGGAAUCUUCGGCAAUGGACGAAAGUCUGACCGAGCAACGCCGCGUGAGUGAAGAAGGUUUUCGGAUCGUAAGACUCUGUUGGUAGAGAAGAACGUUGGUGAGAGUGGAAAGCUCAUCAAGUGACGGUAACUACCCAGAAAGGGACGGCUAACUACGUGCCAGCAGCCGCGGUAAUACGUAGGUCCCGAGCGUUGUCCGGAUUUAUUGGGCGUAAAGCGAGCGCAGGUGGUUUAUUAAGUCUGGUGUAAAAGGCAGUGGCUCAACCAUUGUAUGCAUUGGAAACUGGUAGACUUGAGUGCAGGAGAGGAGAGUGGAAUUCCAUGUGUAGCGGUGAAGUGCAUAGAUAUAUGGAGGAACACCGGUGGCGAAAGCGGCUCUCUGGCCUGUAACUGACACUGAGGCUCGAAAGCGUGGGGAGCAAACAGGAUUAGAUACCCUGGUGGUCCACGCCGUAAACGAUGAGUGCUAGAUGUAGGGAGCUAUAAGUUCUCUGUAUCGCAGCUAACGCAAUAAGCACUCCGCCUGGGGAGUACGACCGCAAGGUUGAAACUCAAAGGAAUUGACGGGGGCCCGCACAAG